CAGCCAGUGUUAACGUGUUCAGGACAAACAUACUUCAAAAUGGUCGCACGUCCUAUCUGAGCCCUUGCCCUGACAUCAUCCAGGUGAAAGAGAACUACAGCAGUGUAGCUCAGCAACACAUUUCUCUCUCUACAGGGCACUCGAGAGAUCCAAGCACAACUGUAAACACUGACAGCAAUCCAGCAGACCAAGCAACCAGGCCCAUACGAGCCGCACUCUUAAAGCACACCAGUUGGUUCUCAGGUCCCCCUUUUCUGGCUCAAGCAAACUCAAGUGAGUCUGAGACCAUCCAUUUUGACCUUGUAGAGCCUGACGCAGACGCAGAGAUUCGGCCAGACGUCACUGCCUUCGUCACUAAGGUUUCUGGAGCUCAAUUCGGCUCUCAUCGCUUUGAGAGGUUCUCGAACUGGAAAGCUCUCAAUCGAGCCACAGCACGACUCAUUCAUGUUGCCAGAUCCUUUCACGAAAGUGCGGACGACAACAACUGCAGAGGCUGGCAUCAGUGUAAAAAACCAUGCAGUACAAGUGAGUUGUCACAAGCCAAAACAGCAAUCAUUCACUGUGUGUAACAUGAAGCCUUCAAAGAGGAAUUCAAAUGCCUUGAGAAAGGAAAAGAGUUACCAAAACAAAGUACACUCAAAAAGCUGAACCCAGUGAUUGAUGAGGAUGGGUUGCUGAGGGUGGGAGGCCGAUUAUCCUCUGCCGACCUGUCACAAGACGAAAAACAUCCUCUCAUCAUCCCACGGACGCAUCAUGUCGCCACUCUGCUGGUAAGACAUUAUCACGAGCAAGUGGCUCACCAGGGCCGUCAUUUUUCAGAUGGAGCUAUUCGAGCAGCAGGCUUCUGGAUUAUUGGGAGCAAACAUCUGGUCUCUGGUAUCAUCCACAAGUGUGUCACCUGCCGUAAGGUUAGAGGAAAGUCAGUUGACCAAAAGAUGGCGGACUUACCUGCAGACAGACUCACAUCAGAGCCACCAUUCACCAGUGUUGGACUUGAUGUGUUUGGACCAUGGAAUGUCAUAACUCGUCGCACUAGAGGUGGUAGUGCAGACUCCAAGCGAUGGGCGGUACUCUUUACAUGUAUGUCUACUAGAGCAGUCCAUAUUGAGCUCAUCGAAUCCAUGUCCACAUCCAGCUUCAUCAACGCGCUGAGGCGUUUUUUCUCUAUCCGUGGUCCAGCAAAAGUGCUACGCUCUGAUCGAGGUACAAACUUUAUAGGUGCCUGCAGGGAACUGGGAAUCGACACAAAUGACUCAGAGUUGACUAAAUACCUCUCAGACAAGGGAUGUACUUGGAUAUUUAAUCCCCCACACUCGUCUCAUAUGGGUGGUUCUUGGGAGAGACUCAUUGGGGUUGCCAGACGUAUCCUUGAUGCUAUGCUGUUUCAGACGGGCUCCACUCGUCUCACACAUGAGGUCUUGAGCACUCUUAUGUCUGAAGUUAUGGCAAUAAUCAAUGCGAGACCCCUAGUGUCAGUGUCAACCGAUCCUGACAUGCCUGCCAUUCUUACACCCUCAAUGUUACUGACACAAAAGACCAACGCUACCUCAGCCCCUUCUGGAUAUUUCCACAUGAACGAUCUUCAUGGAAAACAGUGGAAGCAAGUCCAGUGUCUCGCUGACACUUUUUGGAAAAGGUGGAGACAGGAGUACCUGACAACACUGCAGAGACGCAGAAAAUGGACAGCAGAAAAGCCAAAUGUGAAAGUGGGAGAUGUUGUCUUAUUGAAAGACAGUCAGACGCACAGAAAUGACUGGCCAGUCGGACUUGUGGUAAAAACCUUUCCCAGUACUGACGGAAAGGUCAGGAAAGUAGAACUAAAGGUUGUCAAGCAAGGGAUUGCUAAGGUGUUUCUGAGACCAAUCUCAGAGAUUGUUGUUCUUCUUUCUGAAGCAUCCUAGAGGCAAAAUAUUUGAUUUCAUAGUGGCACAAUCUCAUUAUACCAGGCGGGGAGUGUGCUGCCAUCUUGUUAGAAGGUAACAGAUUAUUUUAUUAUAGUGAUUAAGAGUGACUUUCAUUGUGUUCCAUGGUGUUUAGCGCCCCCUAGUGGAGCUUUCUGGUACUUAGAAUUAUGGACGAAAACCCGGAAGUAAAGUUGUUAUUAUGCACGCGACAAGCAGCUAGAAACAACGCUACUGUACAGUUCUUUCAGUGCAACUAUUUCUUGUUACGCUUCAGCCUCGGAAAAUAUUUGUUUAUAAGAUUGAGAACGGAGGAGACGUGUACCAAAGGAGGAAAGGCCCCCGUGCCGAUGCUGGCUCCUCAGACUCCG